rnacentral:lncRNA from 1 species
CUCUCUCUCCAGCCGUCGCCGGGAGCAGCGUGCGAGUGUGUGUUGAGAGUGUGUGUGUGCUGGGUUUUCAUCUGACAGCACGCUGGGGCUGCGUUUCCUAAGAAAAGCUCAGCUCUCUCAGUUUUCCUGCCCGUCUUAUUGCCGCUCUCAUUGUCUUUGUCGACAGUGAUAAAGAGAGCAGGUACCAUCUGUCCAUCCCGACUAUUCAUUUCGACUUGCUUUUUUCCUCUUUCACAGAUGUUAUGUCAACACUUUUUUUUUUUUGGUUGGUGGAGGUGGUGGGGGGGACUCCCGGUACUAAUGGAAUUUGUUGUGGCUCUUUUGGUCUCUUCUCUCUUGCAGUUCAACCGGGGGCCUGUUUUUGGAAUAAGAAAAGCAUUGCUGUUUUCUGACUUUGAGGGAAGAAAGAAGGGACUCCUCUGGAAUUUCCUCAGGAAUUUAAUCGGACAGCCCCGGUAAGAAGACUCACUGACAUCCAAAAAAGCCUGCUUAUGUAGAGUGCAUGCUCUUAUCUACCCAUACAGACUCUCUAAUUUAGGAUUUUUAACUCAUGUCGCUCAUAUUUUCCAUUUUGUAUUUAAUUACAGUUACCGGGGCUUUGCAUUCUACCGCCUGGCGCUAUAGUAAGUAGAUUAGACUUUUUUUCUGCUGCAAAUGCGUUGAAAAACAGCUCGUUGUGUGUUUAUGUGUGGAAUUAAGUGUUGGCUCGGUGUCUACUCCAAGUUGUGUGUCGUGCCUCGCUGUGAGUAGGAGCCCAGGGCGCAUAUUUUUGCAUAUCUUGGAGCUGCGUUAUGGAUAUCGUAGCGCGCAACGUGCACCGCUCUGCUGCUCGCUGUUCCGCUCCAGAUGGUGGAGCGAUAUGUACAGAUUAAUUCAUUUUCACGUCAUAAUUUAUAACCCGUACUGUGCUCAAAACAGAGCCAUCUUAUGCUGAUAUGAUCUCUCAAAUGUGGAGGACGCGCAGCCGGUUCAAAAUGAGGAGGGUUGUGUGUGUUCAGUUGUUGAAGAUGCUGGGAAAGUUUGGUUGGAUGUGUGGUGCUGUGGAAACUGACUCGGUGUCUUUUUUUGACUGUGCGUAAACGCGCCAAAGGGCUCCUGAGUCAGGUGAUGUAGACGGUGGGUGGGCUGUGACUCACCGAGUUUAUCCAUUUUUUUUAUGCUGCUUUUUUUUCUAUUCCUGACAGGCUUUGAUGCCAGAUAUGACUGCUGAUUGACAGCUGAUCAUGCGCAGAAGUGUGUCAGCGCAGGCCCAAGUCCCUCCCCCUUUUUUUUCCAAUCCAUGCCAGCUACAUAUGGAAGUUACCACAACCCCUCUCUCUUUUGUCAACCCUUUUUCCUCUGUGUAAAAGACAAUUUGUCACUACUACAGAGAAGUGAUUCACAUACAGCCAAUUACCCGUGAUUCCCAGUCAUACUCUGCAGAAUGUAGAGGGAGGGGGGAAACAGUGGAAGAGCCUCUAAAAGCGAGAUAAUGAACUGAAAAGUUUGUGUGCUCCGCUGUUGUGGUUCCAAGCAGUCGCAAAUGAGGGGCAAGGAGGAUGGCUCACACAGGCAGAGAGAUGUGUGUUAGUGCGGCCAGUGUGGAGUGACAGAGGGCUAAGUGAGCAUGACCAUCGAGGAGAGGUAAUAGCAUUACGGUCUGCCAGUCAAGAGGCAGAGAGAGAUAGGCUACUGUUGUAUUUACAAAGGGAGAGUAUAGAAAGCACACAGGGACAGGGAAUUAUGACUUGAGGGGCAGUUUGUCUCACAACUAAGCUAGUUUAAGCUAUCUUGUCUUCAUAUUGAGUGUCUGGUGGUGUGGAGCGGCUUAAGUGGGAUGUGGAAACCCAUGUAGGACUGAUAUAAGCUGGAUUCAGCGCGGUAAUGUCGCCCUAGGGUCAGAUAUUGGCAGAUAGUCAGCUUAUUUGUUGUGAUUUUCCAUCUAUCCAUCCCUUUAUACAUGCUCGGCGACUUGGACGUCAGCCAAAUUCAACUGUGUAUCCAUGAUAAACAACAAACAUGUAAAUAAACCGACAGCGUUCAUGUGAACAUAAACAAAUCUCACAGGAGACAAACGCAUGUCCUCCUGCAAUAAACUGUAACAUGAUGAAAUGUGGCAAACACAGCAGUCCUUUAAGCUAGUCCUCCCUGGAGCUCAGAAGUGGAUCUGAAUCUUUCUCUGAGUUUUCUGGCACAGCUUUCAAGGAUUAGUCCCAGGUAGGAAUAGCCCACCCUCCUGCCUCUGCCCAUCCUUUAGCCAGCAGCACUCCCCAUCUUAUAAACGGGUCAACAUCCCGCAAUUUUCUUUCCCUUUCCCUUUUCCUUUGAGUGAUGCUUUCCCAAAACUGCUCGCCAGGCCCCGGCAUCAAUCACUGCUGGAUGGGAUUUGAGCAAAAGAAGUGAGGAGUGGUGAGUAAGGGAGCGAAGCUUAAGAGUUGUGCAGGUUGACCCAGAGGGCUUCAGGUCUGGAGCUGGAUGUCUGAAAAUCUUUUCCUCUCUUUUUAAUUCUGCUUUAACACACAUCAGUGUGGGGUGACUGUGUGGAAAAUAGAUCCUCUUCUCCUCUUACUUGCUGUACCUCCCAGGCAGGGGUGUGUGUAGAGAAGUUACUGGAGUGGCAUGGCCCCUCUUCAAAUCCCCCAAUCCUAAAUUAUGAUUUGGUUUGUACCCUGAAGGAAGUGGGACUCAUUUUAACCCUUAGAACUCCCAGCUAUAUUUUGCAACUUUUGGUCUGCCUGUUAUUUAUUUAUUUUUUGUAAAAAUCUAUGCAGCAACUCUAUCCUUUCAAGCACAGCAGAUACACAUCUUUUCAGUACAACCUCAGCUGUCAGUUUAUGGGUGCAAAAAUUAUGUAAAAUUAAUGUGACAGCAGAUUCAGAACCAUCAAAGUCUAUUGAUACCAAUACGGAAACUGAUACCAACAGUACUUUGCAUGAAAAACACAUAAAUCUACAGUGACCAAGCCUUUUCUCACCUGCACAACAUUCUGUUAAGUCUUGGCUAUCAGGAGAAGAAAUAUUGGGAUUGGAACAAACACACAACAGAAACUAUUUACAUAUUUACACUAAUUCUUCCAGGCAUUUUUUACUAUUUACAGUUGUUUUUGCCACUCCUUGAAGCAGUUCCUGUCUGGAAUGAGACAGAGGGCCACAUCAUACUGCUCAUAAUCUCUGCUUGUUUCCAAGCAUUGAGGAUCAUUAUGUCCUAUUUUGCAGACAAGCAGGGAACUUUCUUGUCUCUUGUUGAUCUUUGGUUGCCUCUUAUUGGACACUACCAACAAGGGAACAAAAAAAGAAGAAUAUGAGACCGUGUAACUGGUCAAAAGUUUGACAGAAAAAGAUAUCAUCAAAACAGCUCAUCAAACCCAGAAGGCAUUAGCGGCAUUUAGCAUAGCAAUCUUUUUUUUAAUCACAACAAUAAGAUAAAUUAUCAUGUUUUCACCAGUAUAUGACUGCGGAUUUACCAUCGAAUGUCUCUGAUCAAACACCUAUUUUUGUGGCUGGAUUGUAAACCUUGUGGCAGGUGUAGAAAUUCCAGAAAACCCUUGAUAGAUCGCCAAAAGGGAACGCUUUUGAACACAUUUUAUACCAUAGAGAUACACAGUAUAGUUCCUGAGAAACUGUAAACAACAUUAACAGUGUCACAUGGGAUCGCCGGUGAUCUAGCAAAGUUCUAAGUGUUAAAAUCAACUGUUUGGAUAUAAAUAUAGCACUUUUUUUUUUAGUGGUACUUCAAAUGAUAGAAAAAUACUUCACACCUCAGUUUCACAAGACAGAUGUGUUGAAGAGGAAUCAGGCCAUCAAAAACUGCCAGUAUACUCCUGCACACUGUCUGGCUGCCAAAACUACAUUUAUUGGCAAUGUUUAGGGAAGUGUUGCCAACACAUUUUGUAUUUUCAAGGUACUUAAACUUGUGACUUUAGACAUGCAUUUUCUUUAUGAAUCUUGAAUGAGAUCAUACACUUAUGUUUGAUCUGUAUGACCCUUUAAUGUCAGCUGUAUUACAAAGAAGCUAAGAUAGGACUUUGCGGCAGGGACACCCCAUGUCCAAAAAUCUAGACACGCUCCUCUUCCCUGGAGAGAAAGAGGAGCAGCUGAAGAAUUUGUUCAUAAACAUCAUCCAAGUGAUAAAACCAGGACAUGAUCAUAAAGACAGCUGAUAUUUAAUGAUACAUGGAUUUUUAUCACUGCUCAUUUUUGUGAAAUCUGGACCCGGUUUUUGUUGGAUACUGCGCUGCAUGCAGUUAGGUCAAGAUUUUUAAGCAACAGACAAAUAUUGGGUUGAAAAAGCAGGGGAAUAAUGCUCAGUUCUCUGCAAAAGAAAAAAGGUAAAACAGAGGGUUAUGAGCUGUGAGAUGAAGACCUUCAUUGUGGUCCAAGCCUCGGCAAGCCGACUAGCUGACUCCCAUGAGCCGCUUUAUAAUGAGCCCGCGCUGUCAGAUAAUUAGAUACACCUGACGCAGGCGUUUUCAGGAAAUUUUGAUUCAUCCCAAAAUAAAAAUCUCUGUGCCUGCCAACAUGAAAGCCGAAAAAAACUCUACCCC